rnacentral:rRNA from 1 species
UACGGGGGGAGCAAGCGUUGUUCGGAUUUACUGGGCGUAAAGGGCGUGUAGGCGGUUUGUUAAGUCUGGCGUGAAAGCUCUCGGCUAAACCGGGAGAGGUCGUUGGAUACUGGCGAACUAGAGGAUGGUAGAGGCGUGUGGAAUUCCGGGUGUAGUGGUGAAAUGCGUAGAGAUCCGGAGGAACACCAGUGGCGAAGGCGACCCGCUGGGUCACACCUGACACUGAGACGCGACAGCAUGGGGGAGCGAAACGGGG